rnacentral:rRNA from 1 species
UAGGGAAUAUUGGGCAAUGGAGGAAACUCUGACCCAGCCAUGCCGCGUGAAGGAUGAAGGUCCUACGGAUUGUAAACUUCUUUUAUUAGGGAAGAAACGUCUCGAUUCAUCGGGACCUGACGGUACCUAAGGAAUAAGCACCGGCUAACUCCGUGCCAGCAGCCGCGGUAAUACGGAGGGUGCAAGCGUUAUCCGGAUUCACUGGGUUUAAAGGGUGCGUAGGUGGAUUAAUAAGUCAGUGGUGAAAGCCCCGAGCUCAACUUGGGAAUUGCCAUUGAAACUGUUAGUCUUGAGUGCGGUUGAGGUAGGCGGAAUAAGUCAUGUAGCGGUGAAAUGCUUAGAUAUGACUUAGAACACCGAUUGCGAAGGCAGCUUACCAAGCCGAUACUGACACUGAUGCACGAAAGCGUGGGGAUCAAACAGG